CAGUAGCCGCGGGAAUACGUAGGGUGCGAGCGUUAAUCGGAAUUACUGGGCGUAAAGCGUGCGUAGGCGGUUUGUUAAGUCUGUUGUGAAAUCCCCGGGCUGAACCUGGGAAUGGCAAUGGAUACUGGCAAGCUAGAGUGUGUCAGAGGAUGGUGGAAUUCCCGGUGUAGCGGUGAAAUGCGUAGAGAUCGGGAGGAACAUCAGUGGCGAAGGCGGCCAUCUGGGACAACACUGACGCUGAGGCACGAAAGCGUGGGGAGCAAACAGGAUUAGAUACCCCCGUAGUCCCUGUCUCUUAUAC
rnacentral:rRNA from 1 species